GACGAACGCUGGCGGCGUGCCUAAUACAUGCAAGUAGAACGCUGAAGAGAGGAGCUUGCUCUUCUUGGAUGAGUUGCGAACGGGUGAGUAACGCGUAGGUAACCUGCAUUGUAGCGGGGGAUAACUAUUGGAAACGAUAGCUAAUACCGCAUAACAAUGGAUGACCCAUGUCAUUUAUUUGAAAGGGGCAAAUGCUCCACUACAAGAUGGACCUGCGUUGUAUUAGCUAGUAGGUGAGGUAACGGCUCACCUAGGCGACGAUACAUAGCCGACCUGAGAGGGUGAUCGGCCACACUGGGACUGAGACACGGCCCAGACUCCUACGGGAGGCAGCAGUAGGGAAUCUUCGGCAAUAGGGGCAACCCUGACCGAGCAACGCCGCGUGAGUGAAGAAGGUUUUCGGAUCGUAAAGCUCUGUUGUAAGUCAAGAACGAGUGUGAGAGUGGAAAGUUCACACUGUGACGGUAGCUUACCAGAAAGGGACGGCUAACUACGUG
rnacentral:rRNA from 1 species